CCUACGGGGUGCAGCAGUGAGGAAUAUUGGUCAAUGGGCGCUAGCCUGAACCAGCCAAGUAGCGUGAAGGAUGACUGCCCUAUGGGUUGUAAACUUCUUUUAUAUGGGAAUAAAGUGCAGUAUGUAUACUGCUUUGCAUGUACCUUAUGAAUAAGGAUCGACUAACUCCGUGCCAGCAGCCGCGGUAAUACGGAGGAUCCGAGCGUUAUCCGGAUUUAUUGGGUUUAAAGGGAGCGUAGGCGGGUUGUUAAGUCAGUUGUGAAAGUUUGCGGCUCAACCGUAAAAUUGCAGUUGAUACUGGCAGCCUUGAGUACAGUAGAGGUAGGCGGAAUUCGUGGUGUAGCGGUGAAAUGCUUAGAUAUCACGAAGAACUCCGAUUGCGAAGGCAGCCUGCUGGACUGUAACUGACGCUGAUGCUCGAAAGUGUGGGUAUCAAACAGGAUUAGAUACCCCAGUAGUC
rnacentral:rRNA from 1 species